GGGUCAGUAGGUUGGUCGUGCCACCGGUACGUACUGGUCUCACUGAUUCCUCCUUCCUGAAGAACCGUAAUGCCAUUAAUUUGGUGUUGCGGGGAAACAGGCCUGUUACUUUGAAAAAAUUAGAGUGUUUAAAGCAAGCUAACGCUUGAAUACAUUAGCAUGGAAUAAUGAAAUAACACGAUCGAUCCUAUUUUGUUGGUUUCUAGGAUUGACGUA
rnacentral:rRNA from 1 species